AUGAACUUGCAGAGUUAGGGUUGUAAUAACACAUAUAUUCUGCUCUUGUGCUUUAAAAGUGUGACCUCAGGUUUCUAAAUGUUUUGAUCUUCUGAAGUAUGCAUUACCAAGGCUUCUGUUAGCUACAGUAAUCCUGAAGUUAAUUUGCUGUGGCAUAAGAGUUUGUGCAGAGAAAGGUCUGAAAGGUCCUGAAUUUUGCAGAGGGAGGUGUAUGAUGGGACAAGUAUCUGAAAGCAGCCCAUUCCUGUCAUUAAAGAUGAAAAACAUCGUUAUCGUCAUUAAACCAGGUCCUCUGAGCUCAGGAUGUUCUCACCCAGUACUGUCCUGUUUGUUCUGUAGCAGGUCGGUCUGGACUCCGUUCCUCAUAUAAACUCAUUAUCAUUAUUAUUAUUGAAAGAAGAAGAUGAUGAAGAGGCAUAACAGAGUAUAAGAGGCAGGCGUCUGCCGCUCAUCUGCAGAAGGAGAGACUUCCGCAGACGGACAGAAAGAACGCAGAGGGUUCAUGGGUCAGAUCUCCUUUCUGCUGCUAUGAGUCCUCAGGCCUGGAUCUUCUGCACUCUUCUGUGCGUCCUCACUUGUGAACGGAGCAAGAGUGCACACAAAGGGCCCGUCCUGAGCCGAAAGCGGAGACUGGUAGAGGACACAGCCGAUGGGGCCCCAAGAAAGUGCUCUUAUACAUUCUUGGUCCCAGAGCAGAAGAUCACGGGGCCGAUCUGUGCCAGCCAGGGCCCUUCUCUGCCAGAUAGAGAGCGUGUGGUGCAGUCGGAUAUAGCUGACGUCCGGGAGCUCCUGACCAAGCAGAGACGUGAAAUGGACACGCUGCGGAUGAUCGUAGAUGUGGAUGGAAACAUAGUUAACGAAAUGAAACU